rnacentral:tRNA from 1 species
UUUUUAACCGUGGGUUAAGAGGUGUAAAGUUUAACUUCUAAUUAAGCUAAAGCAGAAAUGUUGCCUCUUUAGAAGA